CUCUGAGUCUUCAACCAUAGAAUGGUCCUGACUAGUCUUCAAAGGAACUUCACUAGUGUUUGGUGGUGCCGUUCGGUCAAUAUCUUGUAAGCUAUUAGCGGGUUUGGAAUUUUCAAAUUUGUUACUAAUAGUCUCAGGUAAUGUAGCAGGAGGCUGCAAUUUUGAUUCAGAAACUGAUCCCACUUCCUGUAUGUGUGAUUCAGAUACUUUAGCUGGUUGAAUAGAUCCUUCAUUUGAUAAGCCAAUGGAAGGAGAAUCAGAGACAACACCUAAAGAAUUUGCUGAGUUAUUUGGCAAAUUUGCAGCACGUAUUGCCUGAUCCACAUUUUUCAUCCUUGAACUGAAACUAUUCCCUGUCAUUUCCCUUGCAUUGGGUGCUUUUGAAUCAGAUGCUGGCUCAGAAUGGCUACCAAUCACAGUACCAGAUCCUGCAGAAAUUUGUAAACCAGAGCUUCCAUUUGCCAUUAACUUUUCUUGAUUGAACUUUUGAUCUACAAUUCCAUUUUUCUUCUCUGACGAAGGCUGAGCUCCAGCUGGAUUAGAAGGUCCUUUUGGUGGAGUAAUGCUUCUCAUCACACGGCCAUAUUUAGGUGGCAAAGGCUUUCCAUUGCUUAAUGCUAGGCACCUCAAGCAGUGCCACUCACCACCUCUAGGUAUUCCUUUC
rnacentral:misc_RNA from 1 species